rnacentral:rRNA from 1 species
GGAAUAUUGGUCAAUGGGCGCGAGCCUGAACCAGCCAAGUAGCGUGCAGGACGACGGCCCUAUGGGUUGUAAACUGCUUUUAUGCGGGGAUAAAGUGACGUACGUGUACGUUUUUGUAGGUACUGUAUGAAUAAGGACCGGCUAAUUCCGUGCCAGCAGCCGCGGUAAUACGGAAGGUCCGGGCGUUAUCCGGAUUUAUUGGGUUUAAAGGGAGCGCAGGCUGAUGAUUAAGCGUGACGUGAAAUGUAGCCGCUCAACGGCUGAACUGCGUGGCGAACUGGUUAUCUUGAGUGAGUUCGAUGUUGGCGGAAUUGGUGGUGUAGCGGUGAAAUGCUUAGAUAUCACGAAGAACCCCGAUUGCGAAGGCAGCUGACGAGUCCUUUACUGACGCUAAAGCUCGAAGGUGCGGGUAUCGAACA